CACGACCACCAUCACCGCCACCGCCACCCCCUCAUCUUUCGCGCCGUCUGUGGGAUGAGUGGGCAGGGCAUUCACACACACACACACACGCACACAAACGAAAGGCAAGCGUGUACAGCGCGACAUAGAAAUUCGAAGUGUUUUUCCUUCACACUUAAUUUAGACAGAACGAGCUCAGUCGUUUCGAACUCGUGUGGCAGGCGCGAAAGUGAUCGCAAUGCUGUUUCUGUUCUCUCUCUCCUGUGUGGAGGACGUUGCCAGCCCACUAAGUUUUACCGCCCCGACCUCGAUGCCCACCCGCACCUAAAUCUCCGCAGCGACAAAGAAGAGGAGAUGGGGCACGUGUGUGCCGAGGCAGUGCGGUGCAGUCUUUUGUCACCGGAAUCGACCUUUGUUUUCGUUUGCCUUACACGCGGCGGGCUCGCCGUGCUGCUUCCUGGCGCGUCUGUUGAAGGCACAAACAGCAACAUCAACAGACUCUGACAAGGGUAGGCUCGCGUCUGCUGGGAGCCAUUGAAGAAGGAAAAGGCAGCCCGUUUUUCUAUCCCCCCCCGCUCGUGUAGACACCGCGUAUUCUAGCCCCUCUCCUUCUCCAUAUUUGUAUACAGCGUGCAUAUCGAGGUGCACGGAGAGAAGGCAUUCAAGGCACACACACACACAGAGGUAGGGUCCCCGACUGCAUCGCCACUGGUCAUUUCGCUCGCUUCCUCCACACACACACACACACACACACACCACCAUCACCAUCGCCACUCAACCACGCACGUCUCUCUCUCGCUGCAGCUCUUCUUCUUACUCUCUGCUCGGCUCGUCAUUGGCUCUCGUCAUCUUUUGUUUUUUUUUUCCACUGCUGUCGGGUUUGGUGUCCAUGCCCCUUUUCUCCUCUCGCUCGUGCUCGACAGGUCUCUUUCUUUUCAGCCUGAUCGCAUCUUCUCCGUUCUCUUUCUGAAGCUCGUGGAGCGUCUGUGUGUUGUGGUCGCGUGCGGGUGACGGCGCCCCUUACUUUUCUCGUGAGCAACGUCAUACGCUAAGCUUACACGGCGUUCACCACACGCUUUCUCGUGAAGGACACCACCAAGGGCACGCUGCUGCUCGGCUCCACGUCGCUCGGCGCCAUCGCCGUGAACCCGCCGCUGCCCACCGUCACCGGUGCCCGAGGCGAAUGCGCCACGAACAGCGCGGCCUGCGUCAGCGGCGCGGCGCUCACCAUCAGCAGCACCAACUUCAACUACCGCGACCACGCCUACCAGCAGUUCUUCGUCGGCGUCACGGAGGCGCGGCGCAGCGCCGUCCGCCUCACGCCCACCGCCGUCAGCAUGACCGACCUCACUGCAAACCUCACCGUCGCCCAUGGCACGCCGGCCGGGAGCUAUCCCGUGUUUGUGAAGGUGCAGGUGUGCAUGAUGCACAUGAUGUCGCCGCCGCGCUAUGUGGGCAACCUGGUGCUGCAAGCCGGCUCAGCUUCAAGACUCGAUGGCGACGCGACGCGCUCUGCUGUUGGCGUUUCUAACGCAGCGGUGGCGCCACUGCAACGAACGAGCGUCCGUGACGGCGAUGCCUUCAAGGCGGCGUUGGUUUUUGUGGCCGUUGUCGCCCUCCUGGUGUUCUUUUUUUUUUCGCGUUUCUUUCAAUGAUUGUUAUAAGCUGCCGCUUCGCUUUUUGGCGAAGAAGAGAGGGGCGCGCGCGCGGGAGUUCUAGGAAGUGUUUUUCGAUGGUGCUGGCGUGUCGAGGGGCGCGACAACGUCGGUGCUUUCGAUCAUGACAGCCGCGUGGGCAUCGGUCGGUCAUAUGACGAGCGAGUAGGGCAGCUAGUCGAAGUACUACAUGUUGUCUAUCUUGUUUGCCUCUGCGUUCCUCUUGAACCGCGUUGCACGUCUGUGCCGGCUGCGGGCUCGAUAAAGAGACACGUUAACUACUCACACGCCGUCAUGACACUGGAAGGUGAUGCAGCAGCGCAGGACUCACGAAAAGAUGCGGCCGGUGGCCGGUGAGACAAGCGCGAAAGGGAGGGCUUCAGAUAAGCGAGUUGCAAAUCGGCCGUUUUUAGUGUAUUCGGCUUGUCGGUCAAGCACAGUGGUCGCCUUCUCCUGCUCCCCAUGCACCUCGCAUGAGUAGGAAGGGCCGUCAACGGCUGUUGGCCAUAUGGCUUAACGACAAAAAAAAAGCAAUGGACGGGAAAAGCAGGCAGUCGGAAGACGUGAGUGGUGGGGAGGGGGGCUGCAAAUGCGUAGCGGAAAGACUGUCUUUUCAGCCUCAAGCCUCAUCCCCCUGCACACCUUUCCUGCGUGUGCGGCUCCCUCCUCUAACCUAGACACAUACGUACGCAAGACGAGAGACGCACAUGCAGCGUCACAUGGUGUCUCCUUGCGCGUCGACGACGAACGCUCUGAUAGAGUGCUUCACGGCUUCGCCUUCAUGCGAUAUGCUUCCCUUAGCACCAUGUAACACUUCUCUUCUUGUAUGGUUACCCGCCUGUUUUCGACUUCGCUUCCGUUGUCCUCGGUGGCCGCACGUCUUUCCCAUUAUUCCUCCCCGCUCUACAUACACACUCGCACAUCCGCUGCUGUAUCCACUCCGCGCGGUCGACACACAAACAUGCAUGUGCACGUUCGUGAAACACUUCCGCACAUGCUCCCUCCCCCUCUUCUUCGGGGAUUUUUGUCUUUGUCGUUUCUCCUGCGCGCGUCGGCGAUGCGCGAUUCGCAUGUCGCCAAUGGUGUCGCGCCUCGUGACACGCACACACACAUACACACAUAUAUAUGUAUGUAUAUGUGUGUGUAUGUGUGUAUAAUGGAACUAUGAAUCUACGGGGGAG
rnacentral:misc_RNA from 1 species